rfam:Oryza glumipatula chromosome 4, whole genome shotgun sequence.
AAUAAGUGCAGUUUUGCACUGUUCAUGACCAAUAUUUGACCGUUUGUUUUAUUUAAAAUUUUUUAUAAGUAUUAUUUUUUAUUGUUAUUAGAUGAUAAAGCAUGAAUAAUACUUUAUGUGUGACUAAUUUUUUUUAAUAAAAUUUUCAAAUAAGACGGACAGUGAUCAAACGUUUGGAUAUAGAUAUUCACGGCUAUACUUAUU